AUGCCCAGCUCGCCCAAGUUGUUCUCCUCCUCGGCGGCCGCAGCCUCCCGCCGCUCCUCGCUCCGCCGCCUCCUCUCCUCGCCGGCCGUCUCCGUGGCCUGCCUCCUCUUCGGCCUCGCCGGGUUCCUCGCCGCCGCGGUCUCCCUCUCCCGGGCGCCCGCCGAGGCCCCGCGGGGCCGCUGCCCGGACUCCUCGCACCCGCUCUCCGUCUCCGUCGCCUGGGACCGGCGCCCCGAGGAUGCCGCGGGCGGCGCCACUGACCUCCCGGCGGGCCUCGCCACCGGAUCGCGCGGCAGGCACAAGGUCAUGGCCUUCGUCGGGAUCUUCACCGGGUUCGGCUCCGUCGGCCGCCGCCGCGCGCUCAGGCGGACGUGGCUCCCAUCCGAUCGGCAGGGUCUCCUUCGGUUGGAGGAAGCUACUGGUCUGGCAUUCAGAUUCGUGAUCGGCAAAAGCAAUGACAAGUCUAAGAUGGCAGCUCUUGAAAGAGAGGUUGAAGAAUAUGAUGAUUUUGUGCUUUUAGAUCUCGAGGAGGAGUAUAGCAGGCUUCCAUACAAAACGUUAGCAUUCUUUAAGGCUGCCUAUGCGUUGUUCGAUUCUGAUUUCUAUGUUAAAGCUGAUGAUGACAUUUACUUGAGGCCAGAUAGACUCUCCUUGCUUUUGGCCAAGGAACGUACACAUACACAAACAUACAUUGGAUGCAUGAAGAAGGGGCCUGUUUUUACUGAUCCCAAAUUGAAAUGGUACGAGCCACAGUCCUUCCUACUUGGAUCAGAAUACUUCCUUCAUGCAUAUGGGCCUAUUUAUGCUUUAUCAGCUGAUGUGGUGGCAAGCCUGGUUGCUCUGAGAAACAACAGUUUUCGAAUGUUCAACAAUGAGGAUGUUACUAUUGGAUCCUGGAUGCUUGCUAUGAACGUCAACCACGAGAACACGCAUGCUCUGUGCGAACCCGAGUGCACAGCGUCCUCAAUUGCUGUCUGGGAUAUUCCAAAAUGCUCAGGGCUAUGCCACCCGGAGGUAAAGAUGCUGGAGCUUCACCAGCGGAAAGAGUGCACGGGUGGUCCAACGGAGGCCGCUGAAACCGAUGACGAGUGA
rnacentral:rRNA from 1 species